rnacentral:rRNA from 1 species
GAUGAACGCUGGCGGCGUGCCUAAUACAUGCAAGUCGAGCGAACGGACGAGAAGCUUGCUUCUCUGAUGUUAGCGGCGGACGGGUGAGUAACACGUGGAUAACCUACCUAUAAGACUGGGAUAACUUCGGGAAACCGGAGCUAAUACCGGAUAAUAUUUUGAACCGCAUGGUUCAAAAGUAAAAGACGGUCUUGCUGUCACUUAUAGAUGGAUCCGCGCUGCAUUAGCUAGUUGGUAAGGUAACGGCUUACCAAGGCAACGAUGCAUAGCCGACCUGAGAGGGUGAUCGUCCACACGGGGACUGGGACGCGGUCCAGACUCCUACGAGAGGCAGCAGAAGGGAAUCUUCCGCAAUGAGCGAAUGCCUAACGGAGCAACGCCGCGUGAGAGAUGAAGGUCUUCGGUUCGUAAAACUCUGUUAUUAGGGAAGAACAUAUGUGUAAGUAACUGUGCACAUCUUGACGGUACCUAAUCAGAAAGCCACGGCUAACUACGUG